UACAGAGGGUGCAAGCGUUAAUCGGAGUUACUGGGCGUAAAGGGCGCGUAGGUGGUUGUGUAAGUGAGAUGUGAAAUCCCUGGGCUUAACCUAGGAACUGCAUCUUAUACUGCAUAACUGGAGUACUGUAGAGGGUAGUGGAAUUUCCGGUGUAGCGGUGAAAUGCGUAGAGAUCGGAAGGAACACCAGUGGCGAAGGCAGCUCGCUGGCCUAAAACUGACGCUGAGGCGCGAAAGCGUGGGGAGCAAACAGG
rnacentral:rRNA from 1 species